rnacentral:rRNA from 1 species
AGCAGUAGCCGCGGUAAUACGUAGGUGGCGAGCGUUGUCCGGAAUCAUUGGGCGUAAAGGGAGCGCAGGCGGGCAUGUAAGUCUUUCUUAAAAGUUCGGGGCUCAACCCCGUGAUGGGAAAGAAACUACAUGUCUUGAGUACAGGAGAGGAAAGCGGAAUUCCCAGUGUAGCGGUGAAAUGCGUAGAUAUUGGGAGGAACGCCAGUGGCGAAGGCGGCUUUCUGGACUGCAACUGACGCUGAGGCUCGAAAGCCAGGGGAGCGAACGGGAUUAGAUACCCGCGUAGUCCCUGUCUCUUAUACA